AUAAUGUUAUCAUAUCCCCUUGGAGGCGACGUUUUUCUAAACUAUAGAGGUUUAAAUUGGUUAGCCUUUCUUCAUAGCUAAAAUGUUCCAUUCCUUUUUUAAUUAAUUUUGUAGCCCCCCUCUGCACUCUUUCUAGUGCCAUAAUAUCCUUCUUUAGAACAGGUGCCCAAAAUUGCACAGCAUAUUCAAUAUGUGGUCUUACCAGUGAUUUAUAAAGAGGCAAAAUGAUAUUCUCAUCCCAAUAAUUAAUGUGCUUU